rnacentral:rRNA from 9 species
UUGUGAUUCAUGACUGGGGUGAAGUCGUAACAAGGUAACCGUAGGGGAACCUGCGGUUGGAUCACCUCCUUA